AACGAACGCUGGCGGCAGGCUUAAUACAUGCAAGUCGAGGGGCAGCAUGACUGUAGCAAUACAGUUGAUGGCGACCGGCAAACGGGUGCGGAACACGUACAGAACCUUCCUUCGAGCGGGGAAUAGCCCAGAGAAAUUUGGAUUAAUACCCCAUAGUACAACGGAGUGGCAUCACUUUGUUGUUAAAGAUUUAUCACUUGAAGAUGGCUGUGCGGCUGAUUAGGUAGUUGGCGGGGUAACGGCCCACCAAGCCUGCGAUCAGUAACUGGUGUGAGAGCACAACCAGUCACACGGGCACUGAGACACGGGCCCGACUCCUACGGGAGGCAGCAGUAAGGAAUAUUGGUCAAUGGACGAAAGUCUGAACCAGCCAUGCCGCGUGGAGGAUGAAGGUCCUCUGGAUUGUAAACUUCUUUUAUAUGGGACGAAAAAAGGGUUUUCUAACUCGUCUGACGGUACCAUAUGAAUAAGCACCGGCUAACUCCGUGCCAGCCGCCGCCGUAAAAC
rnacentral:rRNA from 1 species